GUCUUUUCAUAUAUAAUUACCUUGGUCUUGUAAACCAAAAAUGGAGAAUAACCCUCCCUAAGACU
rnacentral:tRNA from 1 species